GUUAGAAUUGAGGUUUUCGAAUACUGUAUGGGCUUCGCCCUCCUUCUUUGUGCGCGUUUCUCUCUCCCCGCUCAAACGCCGUGGCGGCUUCCUUCAAGGGAAGCACCUUUAUGUUAAUCACGCUAGCCUUGAAUAUAAUAAUGACGCGACACCGUGAAUUGCCGCUGACAUUUAUUCGCUCUUAGAGGCUGCUGCACAUCAACUUACAGCAUUUGAAAAGGAGAUCGUGAGUUACUCAGGAGUGGUUGGCAGGAGCUGGUACGAACAACAGGAGCUUACCCUGCCACAGGACCUUGAACCACUGACCUACCAAGUGGCAAGUCCAAGCGGCACAGUGGUUUAAACCACAGCACCACCCGUGUCCCAUUAGAUAAACCCUAAUGCUUAUCCUAUAUGUUGGAGAGGUUGUGGUAUGGUUGGUACAUACUUCCAUAUGUGAUGGAUUGUCCCCAGGUACAAGUGUUUUGGGAGUUGGUAUACCAAGAGAUUUGUGCGAUUACUGGUCAAUGGAUACAUCCAUCUCCAGCAUUCAUGAUGUUCAAUAUGUUUGUGGAUAGAAAUUUAGAUCAUAAUCAUAAAGAAUUGUUGAGUCAUUUACUCUCGACUGCAGAAGCAGUUGUAGCUCAGAACUGGAAGACACAUUGCAAUGUAAAUAUUGACCAGUGGUGCAGCCUGUUAUGUUAUGUUAACUUACCUUUCACAUCUGUUUUGUUUUGCUUUAUCUUUAAUUUGUAUUUUCAAAAGCUUUGUCCCACUUGUAAAUGUCUAAAAGAAAAAUAAAGGCAUAUCUCACAUGAA